UCGUGUUGUGAGAUGUUGGGUUAAGUCCCGCAACGAGCGCAACCCUUAUCCUUAGUUGCCAGCAGUUCGGCUGGGCACUCUAAGGAAACUGCCCGUGAUAAGCGGGAGGAAGGUGUGGAUGACGUCAAGUCCUCAUGGCCCUUACGGGUUGGGCUACACACGUGCUACAAUGGCAGGUACAGUGAGUUAAUCUCCAAAACCUGUCUCAGUUCGGAUUGGGGUCUGCAACUCGACCCCAUGAAGUCGGAAUCGCUAGUAAUCGCGUAACAGCAUGACGCGGUGAAUACGUUCCCGGGCCUU
rnacentral:rRNA from 1 species